UACAGAGGUCUCGAGCGUUAGGCGGAAUCACUGGGCUUAAAGCGUGUGUAGGUGGAUGCCUAAGUACCUUGUGAAAUCCCACGGCUCACCCGUGGAACUGCUUGGUAUACUGGUUGUCUUGAGCCUUCUAGGGGCGAGUGGAACAAAUGGUGGAGCGGUGAAAUGCGUAGAUAUCAUUUGGAACGCCAAUGGUGAAAACAACUCGCUGGGGAAGUGCUGACGCUGAGACACGAAAGCCAGGGGAGCGAACGGG
rnacentral:rRNA from 1 species